rfam:Paenibacillus sp. Leaf72 contig_23, whole genome shotgun sequence.
CCGUGCUAGAUGGGGAGUUAGCGGUGCCCUGUAACUCGCAAUCCGCUUUAGCGAGGUUGAAUUCCUGUUUGAGGUUAUGUCUAUGCGGGGUUUGGCGCUUGCGAGCAGUGUUGACAGUUGGGUCCUCCGCAAUGGACGCUUGUGAACUCGGUCAGGUCCGGAAGGAAGCAGCCGUAAGUAAGUUAGUUCAUGUGCCGGGGGAGUGCCUGGCUCGAGCUGUGGUGCAAGAGUGCCGCCUGGGUUACAUUAAUCAAGGGCAGGUGCACGG